AACGAACGCUGGCGGCAGGCCUAGCACAUGCAAGUCGAACGCACCGCAAGGUGAGUGGCGCACGGGUGAGUAACACGUGGGAAUGUACCCUUUGGUUCGGAAUAACGUUUGGAAACGAACGCUAAUACCGGAUGAGCCCUACGGGGGAAAGAUUUAUCACCAAAGGAGCAGCCCGCGUCUGAUUAGCUAGUUGGUGGGGUAAAGGCCUACCAAGGCGUCGAUCAGUAGCUGGUCUGAGAGGAUGAUCAGCCACACUGGGACUGAGACACGGCCCAGACUCCUACGGGAGGCAGCAGUGGGGAAUAUUGGACAAUGGGCGGAAGCCUGAUCCAGCCAUGCCGCGUGAGUGAUGAAGGCCUUCGGGUUGUAAAGCUCUUUCGCACACGACGAUGAUGACGGUAGUGUGAGAAGAAGCCCCGGCUAGCUUCGUGCCAGCCGCCGCAGUAAGAC
rnacentral:rRNA from 1 species